AGCCCCUCACGGCUAAAAAUAGGGGGCGAGAGCCGGGGGAGCGGGCUGCGCUCGCACCGAGGCCCGCACGAUUCCCUAAUAAGGAAGAGAAGGCGAGUUUUCCAAAGCGGCAGUUUAUUUGUUUCUGGAAAUGGGCAACACAUGUGGGGGAUUUGCCGCUCGGAACCAGGUGUAUAUAUAGCGCAGGUCUUCGCGUGGGCCCGCUUUCGUGCUAUAUAAAGGCUUUGUGCAGCCUGGAACUAUAAAUUUAAUAAUAGAUUACUAAAUUAAGUCUGCACAAUCACUUCAUAAAAAAAAAAAAUCAUUUCAAUUUAAAAUACAGCUGUAGGGGUUUGGACCAUUUCCUGCAUAAUACAGGCCCAUCCCUGAAGUGUAAAUAACACCGGUAUUAAAACAAGUCAAUCAGGAAAAAAAGGUACCUGAAAACAUAAAUGCAUUUUCCAGCCUAUCCUAAGUGAGGAUGCCAAACCUGUAUUUUAUUUGAAUGCUGCUUUGAUAAAUCACUACUGCUUCAGCAGGCUUUUUUUUUUUCUUUUUUUUUUAAUGUCCUGUUUUUCCUAACAGAAAUCCAGGGCUGAUUAAGCCUUAGCAGUUUGAAUAUACCAAACCAACAGGGUUUUGCAAUAGGAAUUAUUCACUUCUUUCCUGUGUACCGUCAGCAUUCUUAAAAUACUGUUACUAUAAAACUAAGCGGCGUGCUCUUCAGAAACGCGUGACGUUGCCUGCUCUGUUGUUUUCAGCUGCAAUUGUGCAAUUUUAAAAUUCUUUUCUUUCUCAAUGCCUUUUCCCCAAACAAAUACCUCUGAUAGUUAGAGGAUUACUAAAACAAGUUAGUUUUUUUUUUUGUAACUUACAGGCCACCUGUAAUAUUACUGACUGAUUGCACAGUAAAAAUGCCAAACAUUACUUUAUUUGUUAUGUAUCCUAAGUUAAUUGUCAGGCUUUCUCUGCCUAAUUUGACAAGACUGAAAUAUCACAAGAAGUGCAUAUGGCAAUUCAAAAGUCAUAACCAGGGAAAAAAAAAAACAACGAACGUUUGAGAAGACAAACCAUUUGGUUCGCAUACCCAGGUAUGUGUAACAUGCUGCCUGUCUGUGCCGGCCGAAGGCCACCUCCACCUGCCUGCUCCCAAGGGCGCAGCCCAGGAGCCCAGCAAUUGCCCUGUCUGCAAGAGCCACACCUUGGGGGACCAGUGGGACCCACCUUGCCUGCACACCGGUCUCUUGGGCUGAGCCUUCUCUUCCUUUACGCACAAUGCCUGAUGGGUUUUGUGGGAUUAGGCUGCUGGAAGACUGUGGGAGGUUCAGAAAACUUCUUUUCUCUGCCUCAUGAAAUACACAGCAAGAAUUUUAUUGACUAAUCUUGGUCAGUCCCCUCCUCCUGAUAGCAUCUGGAAGGGCUUUCACACUGCAUGGGAAUCCUCAUCUCACUUCCAAUAAAAGGACUGCUCCGCUCCCAGAUACGCCUGUGCCGACUGCUGCAGGAUCUAGGUUUUUCCUAGAAGCCUCCCGACCAGACAUGACCCGACUUAGCUUUGUUUAGGAAACCUGACAGAGUGACAUGAAUGGCCAAAGCUUCUGUAUAUCUAAUUUUAAACAGAUAAAAGUAGCUCCAAGACAAACCAGCACCUCUCCUAGAUUUCCAAGUACACUAUUAUGUAGAUCUGGACUUCAGCUAAGGUGAAUAUGAAGAUUCAUUGUCCCAAGAGAUAAAUAUUGACUGAGGAGAAGCAAAGGUCAAACUGGUCAAUAUUUACUCAAGAAACUCUAAAUCUUGGUGCUGCGUAACACUCACUCUGAAUGUCUUCAUCAGCUGCCUCUGGAGAUCUUUUCAUUAUGACUGAGGAUUUCAAAAGUGCAAUCUUUUUCCCUUUAAAAUCCUUGUUUUAAAAAGAAAAACUGAUGCAGACCUAUUGCAAACAGGAAGUUUUCCGUGCCCACAGCCUCAGCAAAAGCAGAAGUGUCUGUUUGCAAAUGCUAUCUGACCAGUCUGCAUGCCAGAGGUCAGUAUCCCUGACCUCUGAAGACGUGAACAAUAAAAAUUUUCUGACUCAUCACAUGACAGUAUUUCAGGCUACCAUGAACAGGAAUUUCUUCUUUGGUAAGGAUUAAUGCACUCCCUUCUCCCUCUGUCUCAAAUAUCUGUAAAUUAAGGCUGAAAUUUUAUCUCAGGCUUCUAUUUCACAUAAGGAGUUACUUUGAGACAAUGUCAAUCAAGACCUUUGGGGAGUUACAGUCCUAUUAUUUACUGUGGCAAGUAUAUUAGUCCUAUUAUUUAUCUAAGGUUUCACAUUUACUGCCUCUUUUCUGAAGCUCUUCCACCGUGCUAUUUUUGUCUGAAGCCACAGCCUGACAGACUCUUCUUUCCACAGAACAGCAUUGUUGAAAGCAAAAAUUCAAGCUAAUUUAUAAAGCCCAAUUUUUCUGGAGAUGCGUGAGGAAAGAGGACACCCAAAUCCAUUGGAUUUUCAAGGAGGUUAUUCCCCGGUUUCCCCUGGGCACCUUCACAUGGCCACUCCAAUGGCUGUGAAGGUACCAACCCUUUUACUUCUCCGUUCAACCAAAUCUCGUAACACAGUGUGUAAACUCCUAUUUCUAACCUUUGUCUCCACUAAAAGCCAAACACAGCACACAUUUGUUGCAAUCACCAUGGAGAUCGGUUGGUUUCGAAUUAGGCAGAAACUGUUUGUUUCCUUUGCUAUUUUUAUUGUGUUUUGAGCCUAUUACGCUCCUCCCUCCCUGCCCUUUCUUUAUCUUUACUGGCAAAUGAGACAAUUUUAUUCCUGGGAGCCAAAUGGCAGCCGCAGCCACCCCUCGCUCAGUGGGGGAUGGCCGCGGUCCCCCCUCCUCAGCUGCCUUCCCUCCCUGUUUGGUGACCAGAAAGUGCGCGGGGCCUAGCUCCGCUGCUGGGACGAGCCAGAAGGGCUGGAUGGGUGGAAAGCAUGAGCCUUGUUUUCUGCAAUUUCGUAGUUAGGCCUACAAGGGAUGGAGGAAUUAAUUUAAUCUCUGCCAGAGGGAAUAUUAGGUGGGCAUCCCGUCUGCAAUGUCGUGGAUGAACCACUAACGGCUGUCAAGAGGGAGUGGAGUUAUGCUGGUGGCACACACAGGACGGGUGGCGAUGGGGAGAAAGAGGUGAAAUGAGGAAGGGAGGCUCAGGAGGACAGAAGCAGUGGGGAGAGGGGGAGCCAGGCUUUUGGGCUCCUUGGACUAUGCGCAGAAAGCCACGAAAAGCAGCACUGCCAGCCCAGGUGCGUGCAGCAGCUCUCCCAGGUGGUGACUCCUGAGUGGCUGCAAGCAGAGACAACAAGCACCCUCUCGCCGGGACAGGCUGUCCUGCACCCCCGAAAGCACCGAGCUGUUGUUACUCGACUCCCAAGGAUGCAAACUCUCUAACAAGUUUUUGGACGCACAGAAAAAGACACAAGGACUGAUAGUGCUGAAUGUAGGUUUCCCACAGCCCAAGUCAAUGGUCUCCCUGUGCCAAAAACGCAGCAGGCUGGGAUCUGACAGUACCAACGAUGCAUAUGCCAAAUGCAAGCUUUUCCCACAGCUCUGUGACAGGUACAUUAUUUCCUUAAAAACAGUAUCACGUCUCCACUAAAAAAAUCCCUCUGCUUCUGGAAUCAUAUGCAAUCCAUAAUGUGGAACUUAAGUUUAAUUCAAAGAGCAAUUAAAAAAAAUCAAUGAAAUUCUUUUAUGAAACAGGAGAUUGAUCUGCAGCUUAAAACUUCCAGUAAUGUAAUAUUUUUGAACUUUAAUAAAUAAUGCUUUUAUCUUGAUUGCAAAAUAAUACCCUGCCAUGAAAACACAGAGUAGAGGUAGGAAACUGUUCAACAAGAAUUAAAAUGUCACACUUUGCAUAGAAUGGAGCAUUACAAUUAUUGGCGAAACACAUUUUUCAAACUUGUUAACAGAAAAUUAACAAUUACAUACAUCACUUAAUUCUGUAAGUGCAUAUCCCUCGAAGUACCCAUUAGCUAACCUUGCCUAGUUCAGUUUUAAUACACAUGCAGGCUUUGUAGCACAGAGGGGAUGUAACCAUGUGAGUGCUGGCACAGUAAACCCUGAAAUGGCAAGUGCUAUUAAAUUGAGAUGCAAUCACGUUGAAAGGGAAACAUUAACAAACAGCAGACAAUUGAGAAGAAAAUACAGGGCGCUUGUGUUCUAAUACAUGUGCUUCAAAACCUUAUAUAACUAUUCAUUGUCUAGUUCAUCUGGCCAGGGGCCCGGUUUGCUCUAUGCUAUGCUAUACUAAUUUUAUAAUAAUAAACUGUUACACAAGCUUUAUGCAGUCAUGCAUAUGAAGAGGUUGUGGAAGACAUUACAUUUGAUUAUCUUUCUAGCAAAGACACCAUCUUGAAAUUAAACAUUGCCUGUUAGAAGUAUGUAUAAGAUAAAAAAAGAAAAGAAAGAAAGGGACUAUCUCAAGAAAAAAAAUAUCAUUUCAAAAAGGAGAUGUUAGAUUCUUUUCCCUGUCUGAGUAUCACCUUCACAUUAUGCAUGACAGAUGAAUACCACUAAUCCCAUAAUACAAUGCAAGAAUCUGCAUGUUCCUGGACUAUGUUUGUUUGAAGACAAUCAGUGAUUUUGGAAACACAUGCUUGUGUGUGUGUGUGUGUGUGUGUUAAAUGCACCUUCUUUUUGUAAAAACAAGACAAAAAGGGUUUACAAAGCCAGAAGGAAUGUGUGAAAUAGCUGGGGUUUAAAAACCCUUUGUUACUCGUUGCUUUAGCAUGAACCAACAUGAACCACUGAGAUGCUUCAGUUAACGUUUAGCUGUACCACGAAACAUUUUGUAAGAUAGCAGUUGGAAAACAUGGGCAUGAGAGGGCACAAAAGCAUACACAGUACAAACCAGAUGCGAUCCAGAAAAGUCAUUUCAUAUUCUGCAUUUGUCUAUGGAAUUGUCUGAGAAUUUUCUGCUGAACAUUAUUUCCAGGUUUAUCACAGCAGUUCAAAACUGGCUAUAUUUAGUCACUGACCAGUGCCAGAAAGCACUACCAGACUAUAGGAUCAUGGCAUAUUUUAAGUUUGAUAUCUCAUCCACCAUCAAGGCCAGAAAUAAAUGCCUUUUAUUAUCACAAAGAGCGAAAGCCUCAGACCUCCAAGAUACAUAAGUGAUAUUUUUCAGCUCUCAGUCACAAGAUAUCAACCUCAAAAAUCACAUUAUUCAGAUUACCAUUGUGUAUCUGCUACUUCCCUACCACCCCCUACAUAUUUUGAUUUCAACAUUUUAACGUCUAAUCUAAAAAAAACACUAAAGCUAGUGAACCAAUGUUUUAUGUGGGGCCCCUGAGGCACUUCCACAUGCAAAUAACAACAAUACAUACCAGAAGCAAAGAGUCGGCAGCCAAGUGGCGCAGAAGUCAAGGGGUGUAGCAGCAAACCCCCAAAAGCUUCAACAACAGAUUCUGAUCUAAAUCACAUCACUGUCAAUCCCGAAUAAUUGUCUCCUGCAGAUUUACAUGAGUGGAAUGGAGAUCACAGUCUUUCUCUUAACCUUUACCUUUGAAGUUGAGAUGGUCAAAAAUACGAUUUUCUAUCCAACAGGAAAAUGCCAGAAUUUGAUCAUUUUGUCCUAAUUGGGACAGGCAGUCAAAAGAACUCUGAGCAACACUAACAGGCAACUAUCAGGCUCCUCAGCUUUAACAUUCCUGACGGAAAGAAACCAACUGAAAAUACUUCAACUAAUCAAACCUUUGUCUCAGAGCGUUCUGACAUUACCCUGCAUCCCUCUGAACCGCACCCCAGCUUGCCUUGGCCCACGUGCUGAGCACCCCGCUGCUGCCACGCAGCCAGAAGGGACCAGCACGCCAGCAUCGCCACGGUGCUCGCCUGAAACCCUGCUGCCCAGUGGUCCCCAGAGGAGGCUUUCAGCUCGGCCUGAUAGGUUCAGUCAUUCCAGACCUACGUCAAAGAUUUCAUUUCAACUGUUUUGGUGGACAAGAAAACAGAAAAACUAAAAAAAAAGAGACCAAAACCAAAACAGAAACAUAGUGGCUGUGGGGAGCUACUGGGGGAAAGAUUUCCAUUUUAUUCAAAUGGCAUCUUCCAGUCCAAAGAAACGGACCUGACUUGGAAGAGUGAGAAAAAUCUCAUGUGAGGGCAACACUCGUGGCUGGGAAUGUUGAUGGCUGCAGUAUGUCAGAGGCUAGAUGAGUCAUGGCGAUUACUCACAGCGCAGCACAAAAGAAGUAUCUUAGGAGACCUGACUUUAUAAUAAAGUUUUAUUUUAAAUGACGUGCUUCAGAUCUAGUUUUAUCUUCCAACUGCUGUCCUUGGGAUAUUGUGGUCCACGUUUUCACCAUGAAAUUAACGGCGUUGGGUCUAUUGGCUGUUACAGUGUUAGAACUUACUGAGUGUAUCAAUUCACUACCUUCCAAACCCAAAAUGGCACUGGCAAGUUUUCCUCUUUGCUACACUUCAAAGAGAUACUCCAGUCUCACUGCUGAUCCUAAGUGCUCUGUGCUCCCUACCCGUAAAUGUGGAUUUCAUUUUAUAGGGUCUUUUUUUCCAAAAUACAUUCCAAUGUCAUGAUCAAGCUCUAAAAACAGUAAACACAGACUUCCAUAAAUUGACUUAAACUUCUAAACUAAACAAUUGCAAGGAUUUGCAGCUAGGUAAUUUUUCCUUUUUUUUUUUUUUUUUUUUUUUUUAUAACAAACCCAUCUCUAUCAUAACUAAACAUUCACAGUGUACGUAUAUCCAGCUUAAUUACAGGGUGACUUUCAAAACAGCCAACACCAAAAACCCUAAAGAUCCAUCCUUUUUUUUUUGGCAAAUCAGUCAAACGACUGUGGUUCAUCGCAAAAUCAGGAUGUAUAAAGGAAUGAGGGCAACUGUACUGCUGAUUUUGAACAUGGUAUUCUGAAUGAAUAGGUGCUAAACACCCUGGGAAUAAUAUUUUCUGUUUUUCAAACUUGUGCUCUACUUCUGUGCAAGUAUGUCAAGAGACACAGGCUCACCUGAAAUUCAGCUGAGGUUAGAAAGGCUUGAAAGAUGAAGAUGAAGUGACUUAUUUAAUCAACGAAGUGAGAAGUAGAAUCAUCAACACCUACUUAAAGUAAACAUGCCACCCCAUGGCAAAGAACUGUUUUCACUGGGAGGUUAACUUCUUUUACUACAGUUGCAAAUCCCAAAUGAAGCACAGGAGGGUGAUGACAGAGCUGGAAGGGUGCACAGUACCUUUCUGUUGAAGCAGCAGCAGUUCUGUGAAUGUCACCCAUGUUAGCAGGAUGAUCACUAUUAGCCUUUUCACAAAUUCUCCUACCCUUUUCUGGGGACUGAAACUGCUGAUUUCAACUAAAUUCCUCUUUUUCUAUUACUCACUUGUUGCUAACACCUGCUUUUUAAUUAACGCACUCUUUAAAGCUAUUGCACAAAAAGGUGACUGGAGAUAUCUGAAGGACCCAUCAAGGAAGGCUCAUGAAGUUGGUACCUUAAGUCUGCACAUGAUCUUGCAGUGUGUAACAGCUUCUUUAAAUGGAUGCUGUUGGGUUACAUUUCCAGCUAUACUUCAGCUGAGGAGCUAGUCCUUUGUAGAAAUUACUGAAGUAGCCUAAAAUGGACCAGUUCCCAUCCUCCCUGAGCUGAGCUGCCCACCAAAGAACAGGCAGAGCCCACGCAGACCACAGCAGAGGAGCACUCUGCCAGGUCAGGCUCUGACACUGGCCACUGCUCGCGGUGGAUGCAGACUGGUGAGGAGAACAAAGAGCAAAUUUUAGGAAGGUUUGUUUUAUUGUGUAAUAAUGAAUGUGUAAUGAUCCAGCACAACCUAGCCUUUACUGACACAGAUGCUACAAAUGAUUUGACAUUAAUACAGUAAUGGUUUUUAAAGCCAGAAGAAAAUAGUAGGAUAUUAUUGCCUUGUUUACUUUCUGCACACACUGUCUGUACAAUUUCAGAGUGACUACUGGCUGAAGACUGUAUCUCUUGUUUGAGUAAGGAUCAUGUCUUUUUGAAAGCAGUCUUGAUUUCAAAGGUUCAAGUAAUAAAGAAUCCAUGUUACUUCUAGCUGAAUUAUUCCCCUGGUUAAUUACCCUUCGCUGCUAGAUAAUUGUUCCUUAGUUUCAGCACUAAUUUACCUGCUUCCACUUUGAAGCACUGGGUCCUGCUAUGUGCCUAUUUGCCAAAUUAGAGAGGCCUCUGCAGUCAUGGGUCUUCUGCUCAUGGAGGAAUUCUCAGGCCCUUCACAGCCUUCCCGUCCAUGCACUAAAAGGCUCACCAUCCUCUGGUCUUUCACUUGAAGGUGUUCCCAUGCCAUGAGCUGUUCUUUGAGUCUUCCCUUAACCCUAGCCAGUAUUUCAAUACAACGUGCAAAACAUGGCCAUCAGAAUCCGGCACAAAGCUGAAGGUGGGAAAAAUCUCUCUAAUAAACUCUUUCUGCUCUUUCAUGUUCCUCUGCAGCCCGUAGUUCAGAAUAAUGCACCUGUGUAUUAGCAGUGCAGUUAUCCCAUGAAAUUGUAUCACCUUUUUUACAGAAAGCCAUCAUCAUUUGACUGACUUACCAAAAUGUUAGCUCUUAGGGGUUUUGAUAAUGAUUUCCUCUAGUGUUAUAUGCAGCAGUAGCAACACCUCUCUAUUUCUUCUCACUAUUCAUCUAAGAAUCAGGUUUGCUCUCCUACUCUAGUCAAUUGGUUAUCUGUCAUUAUCCUCAAGUAAUUUAUGGCAUUAAGACCAACACAGAAGCCCUGAGGCACAAGGAAAUGCUUGUCUGAUGACUAAAAGACCAAGACACAGCUAUAUAUAAUAUGCAGGCCCAAACUUCAGUUGAAAUGUAAACUCUUAUUGCCUCACAGGCCUUUGGCCCGUAAUGGAUAAUAAAUCUAUUAAAAAACAUUACAAAGUCCUAAUUGCUGAUGAUAAACCUACAAAUAAUCAACUUUUUUUUUUUUGAGCUAGAUACUGUUUGUUUUUUUUUUUUUUUAGUUGCCUCCUUAUUCAGUAUUUAUGCAUAAACCCAAGGUCUAUCAGCACCCAUUGGCUAUGACUGUGAAGAUGGAUGCUCACACCCCUUUUAGACAACAUCAGUACCUUCUUCUAGUGGACAUGAGCACAGAGGGAUUGCAGAGGUCUCUUCAGCUCUGUAAUUCU